CGGGAAACCGGAGCUAAUACCAGAUAAUAUAUUGAACCGCAUGGUUCAAUAGUGAAAGACGGUUUUGCUGUCACUUAUAGAUGGAUCCACGCCGCAUUAGCUAGUUGGUAAGGUAACGGCUUACCAAGGCAACGAUGCGUAGCCGACCUGAGAGGGUGAUCGGCCACACUGGAACUGAGACACGGUCCAG
rnacentral:rRNA from 1 species